GGUAGUUCUCUGGUGAUGCACCCUAGAAUCAGGCUCCCUCCUCUCUGGUUCCAGUUGUGUCACCCAAGAACCCCA
rfam:Myotis lucifugus cont2.39350, whole genome shotgun sequence.